GGGGGUAUAGCUCAGUAGCAGAGCAUUUGACUGCAAAUCAAGUGGUCCCUGCUUCAAAUCCAGGUCCCCCCU
rfam:Alligator mississippiensis ScZkoYb_277, whole genome shotgun sequence.